UACAGAGGUCCCGAGCGUUGUUCGGAUUCACUGGGCGUAAAGGGUGCGUAGGUGGUCGGGUAAGUCGGAUGUGAAAUCUCGGAGCUCAACUCCGAAACUGCAUUGGAAACUACCUGGCUAGAGGUUUGGAGGGGGGACUGGAAUGCUUGGUGUAGCAGUGAAAUGCGUAGAUAUCAAGCGGAACACCUGCGGCGAAGGCGGGUUGCUGGGCUGACACUGACGCUGAAACGCGAAAGCUAGGGGAGCGAACGGG
rnacentral:rRNA from 1 species